rnacentral:lncRNA from 1 species
GUAUUAUUCUAAAACAAGCAUACAUGCAUGGCUACAAACAUAGGUUUAUAAAAGGUAUCUCCAAUAGCAUACACUGUAGAGAUAACACAAAUUGUAGUAACCAAGAUAUUGAUAAUAUUCAACUUAAGUAUUUAAGUGCAAUUCCAUAUCAUAAUAUUUAUGAACCUAUAGUUAAGGCCCUCAAAAGACACAAUUAUGUCCUUCCCUACAGCAAUUGCAAAACCAUAUAUAGAUCACUAUGUAAUUACAAACCCAAGGUUUCCCCAUACGAUGCAGCAGGUGUAUAUUUAAUUCGAUUAUUAGAUAUUAGUAAAG